GGUAGGUGUAAGGCAUCAUCGACAUUACCGUUGCCACGGUGAUGGUGGUGAUGAAUGGGACGGAGAGGGUCAGGUGGGUGCGCACUUGCUGCGAGAAAGCAAAUGGGAUAUCUUCUAGGUGUUCCCCUUCCCCUUGUUAUAUAUGCAAUGCAUACACACACACAUACACAUACACAUACACGUACACUAGAUAGAUAGAUGCAUGCAUGCUUGCUUUUGGACGCCUAAUUUUAG
rnacentral:lncRNA from 1 species